rnacentral:tRNA from 1 species
GUCGGGUAGCUUAAACGGAAAGAGCAGCCGUUUCCGCGGCAGGUACGGGUUCGAGUCCCGUCCCGACCG